rnacentral:misc_RNA from 1 species
AAGUCGUAACAAGGUUUCCGUAGGUGAACCUGCGGAAGGAUCAUUAUCGAGUUUUGAACAGGUUGUAGCUGGCCUUUCACAAGGUAUGUGCACACCUGGCUCAUCCACUCUUCAACCUCUGUGCACUUUAUGUAAGAAAUGGUGUAAGCUGAUUUUUAAUAAGUCAGUAAUAAACCUUUCUUAUGUUUACUACCAACGCUUCAGUUAUAGAAUGUCUACUGUGUAUAACACAUUUAUAUACAACUUUCAGCAACGGAUCUCUUGGCUCUC